AACAACGACACAACUCCCAAAGGACACAAAAGCUAGUGUCGGAGAGGUCCAACACUGGACCAAUUAUUCUGGUAAUUUUUUAAGUUCUGUCCCUAUUUUACUCACCAAUUUCCUCUUUUAAAAAAAAGCGAAUGAGUUUAUAAAUUCAGAUUUAUACCGUGAUGAUACUAAGAAUAAAGGGUCAAAAACACGGUUACAGAUGGAGAGCCCAGGCUACUUUCCACCUGUGUGAUUCCAACUCGGCGACAUCUGGAACAGGUGGAACCGCGGAGACGGCAGACAGUGGCAGAGAGAUGGCGGGGGAUGUAGGGAGGCAGCGAGGAGUGAGCACGGAGGACUCUGAGGCAGCAAGACUGCUCUGCACGGUCCUGAGAUGGUGGAGACCCACAAAGAGUGCAACCAGGAGGGGCCCUGAUGGAAACGGCGGGCUCCGGGUGUAGGUGCCCCGCCUGGACCGCGGGCGCCGCUCAGGUGGUGGAUGGGGACGGAGGAGGAACGAAUGAAAAGGUGCUCAAUAAUCAUCACAUUUUGCUCCGGCGCAUAAGGAACAGAGGAGACUGCGAAGCAGCCACAGACGACCUGGUUUCCGAGGACGCGGCUCAGGAAGAUGGCAGGCGGCCCUUUGAACCCACAGGAAACGUAACUUUGUCUCAACUGAGUUUGCACAAAGCCCCAAGCCAAGAGCAGGAAGGAGAUCUUGUGCAACGGCAGAUGCUGAAACGGGAGGAGGGAUGGAUUUGGGGCGUAAGGCUGGUCCAGCUGCAAUCACCCUUGACCCUCCUGGUCCAGGACACGCGUUCUGGUGAUCAAGGUUCUGUGAAGUGGGCGCGACAGUGGCCUCGCCAGGAACCACGAGGCAGAGUCCAUGGGGUCACGCGUGGCAGGCUUGCCCAGGCAGAGCGCCGCCUGCAGUCGGCAUCUGUCACUCACACGAGAGCUUCUGCUCAGAGUGGCUCCUCUCCGCUGAGGUCCUUCUGAAGCUCUGGGGGCGGGGAGGCUCUGAUGACGUGCAGCAGCUGGGCACAUCCGCGUGCCAUUUUAGAGAAGUCUGCCCAUUUGGCACAGCUGUCCACUCUCUUGGAGUGAGGAGGUGAGUCAGUCGGGCCCUUGCUCUGGACCCCAGACUGUACAUGGGAGUUCAUGCCUGGCACACAGGGGAUCAGUUUCCCUGCUUGCUGGUCAAAGGAUUCCAGUUUCCAACAGGAAGGAAAAUAACAAUGAUGCUGACGAUAAUGAAAGCGACGGAGCUCCAUGUCCAGGCACUGGGCCAAGAGCUGUUCCUGGUUUGGGUUUUUCAUUUUAUUUUCAUGCAUUUAAAAAAAAAAAAUGUUUUAACGGCUGCACCUGCAGCACAUGAAAGUUCCUGAGCUGGGGUCAAAUCAGAGCUGCAGCUGAGGCCAACCCCACAGCCACACUGGUCCAGGUCGCAGCUGUGACCUAUGCUGAGCUCGUGGCAACACCAGGCCCUUAAACCACUGAGUGAGGCCAGGGAGUGAACCCGCAUCCUCACAGAGACAACGUCAGGUCCUUAGCCCACUGAGCCACAACAGGAACUCCUGGUUUGGGUGUUUUUUUAAAAUACGCAUCACCUCAUUCAUUCUUACAGCCCAGUGAGGUAUGGGCUGUUACAUACACACGCAUACGUGCACGUGCACGAGGGAUGGCCCACGUGCGUAUUUACGUCCAUGGUUCCUAGUCCUGUCCACUGAAAGGGCCAAGGGCAAAGACACCCCAGCAACGAGCACCGCUAGGGCCCCGGUCUUGGUCCCUGAAAGGAGCCGGGGCCCUCGGAGCAAUGGCUGACCCUGGAACUGAGGUGGAGUAUGUGCAAGUGACCCUGGAAGAACGUGGGGUGCUGGGAGAAAGUCAGAGCUAAGAAACGCAGGCGUGUCCUGUCCCAGGACACGGAGCAGAUGGAAGGGGCUCCACCGCCAAAUCUGGGGCACUCUGAGCACCAGACUCGCUAAGGAUGCUCAUCUGCCACAGGCCACUGGGAGCAGGAAUCCGCAGUGUGCGCCAUUAAUGGGAGUACACGCGGGAAAGGAAGGCUCCUUCUCACGGCCAGGACGCCGAGGCCGCCCCGUCCCUGGAGGAGCCCUGGAGAUGGGCUCAUCAUUCUGCAGCCACCAGAGUAAAGGGCCCGGGGCAAGAAUCACCGGUGAGGCUGAGUCCCGGGGGACGUGCCACCAGCAGCACUCCUGGGGCCAUCAGAGCGGAGGCUCAGGUGCACACACGCUGAGUGGGAGGCCCGACGAGAGACGAAGGGGGUGCCAGGAGAGUGAGAACCACCCAGGUGCAUUUCGGGGCCCCAGUGGGUAGGAGCAGCUGGAACCACGGGGCUGGUCAUCCAUCCAGGGAGCGGGCUCCGGAGCCCUGGAGGCUGGAGUCGUGGGGCGUGUCGGCAGGGGGUGGGCGGGCAGCGAGGCCAGGCGAAGAGCCAGCCAUUGAGCGGGUGAGCCCAGAUGGACGCCUCCAUCCAAGCCGAGAGGCAGGGCUGGAGGCAGGGUCUCGGCUGAGGUGUGACCGGGAAGCAGGGUGUAGACACAAUAGACGAAGGGUCAAACCUCCUGCGAGGCUCUCCAAACCUGCACCUGACUGCGCACGGCCGCACUGCCCGUAGUUGCCAAAGAGCGGAAUUUACCCAAAGGCUCAUCAAUGGAUGGUGGAUAACGUGGUAUAUCCGUAAAAUGGAAAACUCUUCAGUAAUUAAAGGGGAUGGAGUAUUGACACAACCCACAACCCAGGCGAACCUUGACACAGAGGACUGAAAGGUGCACGCAAAACGUCCGGGAAAGGCCCACCCACAGGUCCGUGUCCACCUGGACUUUCAGGGAGCUGAGCGAAGGCACGUGGGCACGACAGGGUUGUCUGGGGAUGAUGAAUAUAUUCUAAAAUUGACUGUGUUCAUGGCUGAACAACUUUGAAAAUCUACCCAAACCACUGAGUUGUACCCUUUAAAUGGGUGAAUAGAGGGUAUGGAGCUAGUAUAGGGUAUGGAGCUAGCCUUCCCCAAACCCGGAGUGUGCGUGUGCGUGUGCGUGUGCGUGUACACCUUGCAAUGAGAAGGAAGUGUAAUCUAGAAGGGAGAGAAGGAAGCAGAACCCGAUGGGAUCUUCCCAGCACAGACACUGCCCCCUCCCCACGUCCUCCGCCUGCCUCUCAUCUGGAAAACCUUUAGCCAAAGAAUAAAUUAAUCAGAGAAAUGAGAAAACGCAGAAGCAAAGAAAAGCCAUCAAACAGGACAAAAUAAUCCAAGUUACGUCAUUAAACAAAGCCAAGGACCUUUAGUUCCUCCUCGAGGGCGACUGACAAUAACCUGAUCCAUAUCCUUUGGGCUGUUUGCAAGAUCCUGCAACCCCCACCAGGGGACAGAAAUUACCCACAUGAUGACCAGACUGUAGCCAUGACAUAGGCCGCUCCAUCCUGCACAAUUCCCAGCACCGACCCCGGAACUGGAGAGUCGCGGUACUUAAAACAAGACGACACGGAUCGGACCACCACACGACCCAUUUCAACAUGAUUAUCAAGAAGCUGGCUGUUCUGCACUUGAACCCCCACUCCUGCCGGUGCACCCCUGAAACGCUCCUCAUUUAAAAGCUCUUGCUCUUGAUCGACAAGGGGAAAUGGGUUCUUUGGGACUGAGUCCGCCUUCUCCCCAGGACUGCCUCAAUAAAGCUGCUCUUCCUUUUACCCAACACUUGUCUCCCCGUGUUGGAUGCGGUGGAGCCCGAGUUUGGUAACAGAAGGAAUCGGGACAGUAGUUUAAGGCAGUGCUUCUCUAACGUUACGGGGCACCAGGAGCACCUGGAGAGUUUGUUAGACCAGGUCAGGCCCCAGCACAAGAGAGUCUAUUUCAGUUGGUGCAGGUAGGGCCGGAGAAUCUGCAUUCCUAACCUACCCCCAGAUGGUGCUGAAGAGGCUGAUGAGGGAGCACCACUCUGGGGACCAGUAAAACCACUGGAAGUGACGCUAUUGGUUCGUGUUGUUGUUUUUAGGUUGAGAUAUAAUUCACGUACCGCAGAAUCCAGCCUGUCAAAGGGCAGCGUUCAGCGGUUGUAGGGCAUUCGUGAUGUUGUGCCACCGUCACCACCACCUCCAGAACAUUUUCAACACUCCCAAAAGUGACGCUGUACCCAUCAUCAGUCACUCCCCACCCUCCCCUGACAACUCCAGCCUCCAGCAAACACCAAACCACUCCUUCUCCAUAGAUCAGCCCUUUCAAGACACUGCAUUUAUGAGGAGAAUCACACAAACCAUGGUUUCUGCGUUGGGCUCCUUUCACUGGGCAUGACGUUUUCAAAGUUCGGCUGGGCUGGAGCCUGAGCCUGUGCUUCUCUUUUUCAUGGCUGCGUGCUACUCCGUUGUGUGAAAGGACCACAGUUUGUCUAUCCACUCAUCAGGUGAUGAACAACUGGACUGGUGGAGUUCCCACCGAUUGACAUUGUGCUGCUGUAAACACCGCGUUCAGGCUUCUGAGCGGACAAGGCUGCCAUUCUCUUGGGUACAUACCUUGGCGUGGAGAUGCUGGGUCAUACGGCCCUAACUCUGCAUUUCACUUUCUGAUGAACCGCCAAAUUGUUCCACAGCGACCCCGCCUGUCACACCCCAGCAGCUUCUCCACAACCUGACACUGGUUAUUGUCCUGAUUACAGCCAUCCUAGCAGGGUGAGGUAUUAGCGCACCGUGGUUUUGCCGUACAGUUCCCCCGUGAUGAUCUGGAGCACUUUCUCGUGUGCUUAUCGGCCAUCCGUGUACCUCCUCUAGAAAAAAGUCUACUCAAAAUCUCUGUCCAAUUUUUAAUUGGGCUAUGUCUUUUUUAUUGUUGAAUUUU
rnacentral:lncRNA from 1 species